UUACCUCGCCAGUUCGAGAAGGACAGUUUGCCCGCUGUCAGAAGUAUUGUGAGUACUACAAGUUUGGUAGCUAACUAAAUCGAAAUCGCUCUGUCGUCUUACCCUUGGAGAGAUUCUUGUGGAGCAGUUUGCUCAUUGAACCGGUUGCUUGCCACUUUUAUAACGGUCACUGUGUUUAACCUUUGGAAGGUUAGUAAAGUUGUAUGUAUCAUUACUGAACAUUGAUAUAUUUAGUAUUCGUCGGUCUAGACCAUACCUAGACUUGUUAGCAGUGAAGUUGUGGAAACAGCUACAUCCACUUAAUUUCGUUGAAAACCGUUAAUCGUCUAACGGAACGUCGUCGGAGGUGACCUUGGUUUCACCUAGUCUACAUUGGACAGUUUGGUCUAGUGAAGCAACGUACAACAGCGAACUUCGUCGUACUACCAGAGUAGCAGCAGAAGCAGUGAACUAUUUUAGAGAACCGUUAUUCGUCAGCCCAGAUCAAGUCAUCGUCAAGAAAGUCGUUAUUCGUCAGCCCAGAUCAAGUCAUCGUCAAGAAAGCCGUUAUUCGUCAGCCCAGAUCAAGUCAUCGUCAAGAAAUUCGUUAUUCGUCAGUCGUCCAGAUCAAGUUGCCGUCAAGAGACUGUUAUUUGUCAGUAGUCAUCUACACAAGUCAAGUCAUCGCCAGAAGAACCGUUAACCUAUUCGUCAGUAACUGUGUACACAAAGUCGUCGGAACUACACAUACGGUUAUCAACAGUCGUCGAAGAAACUGGAACAUUUUACUGUGACAUAUCAGGACAUCUGUGGCAUUACGUGGGAUACUGGUAGCACCGGAGAACAGAGUCAGAACUGGAAGAGAGGCAGUGGAAUUUGUUGUGAUCUAGCAUAUUCGGGAGUCCGAACAAAGGGAUCUUUCUUAUCAAAAGCUAAGUGCCAUUUUUCUUAUUAGUGUAUGUUUAGAUUGCCCUUAGAAAUAGAUUUUGUCUAAAUUUGGUAUGUUAGCCUGAGUAAAAUUCAGGUGGUGCUGAAGCCUUAAACCCGUUCGGGGUAAAGACAUAAUUUAGAUGAAAAGCUAUAUUAUACGUUUAGAGUUGUAAUUUGUUUUGUUUGUGUAAACGUCAUAUCCGUUGUUGCCUAGUUACUUCGUGACGUUAUCAUUGUGUGCCAUAUUGUCAUAUCCCAACCCAUAGCGAUAGUCUCAUUUAAUUAUUUCAUUUGUUUAUAUUAUUUUAAAUUAUUUAUUUUUAUUAAUUUAAUUAGAUCUGUAUUUUUUUUUCACUUAAUGAUAGAAAGUGCGGGUAGGAUUCUUUUACUGUGAAUCAGACUAAAAUAAUUUUAGUUUGAGCGGUUAAAAUCAAAUAUGAUUUUGCCAUGAGAAUAAUGCCGAAACUGGCUAUGUAGUCAAACACUGUCGUCUGGCUAAAUUUAGAUCUGCAAAUUGUUAUACAUCUCUUUGGUACAAUUAAAUCAUCUAGACUCUAAUUUGAAAUAUUAUUAAUCGGAAGAUGAAUGAAGAUUACUGCCAGAGAAGAACACUUGUGACGUGUGACGUGCCCAUAAGAUGCCACAUUUUCUUUUAUGAUGAACUGUGUACUAAUGAAGAUGAUUUUGGAAUGUUAUGAACUGUUAUGAACAUUGACAUGAAUAUGAGGAACUGUCAAGAUGAAGAUGUCAAGAUGAAGAGAUCAAGAUUUUAUGUUUGUGGUCUUCCCCUUAAAUUGAAAAUGCCCUUGUAAGACUUGACAGUAGUGGAAAAAUAUUGACAUAUUUUUUUUUCAAGGGGGGGAGGAAUCUGUUAGACACCUUAUUUAUAUAGGUUAGUUAUUUAGCGACGCACCAUAGUAGACGCAUAUUGACCGGGACUAGUGACGUUUGGGAUAUGUUGGGUUAGAGACCGGAAAAUCAGUUAGCGAUAGAAUAUUCCAGGGUAACGACGUGUUUAGUGACAGAGACUUCUACUGUGGCCUUUUAUCAGAAUAAAUCUAUGUGAACUUGUU